UACGGAGGGUGCAAGCGUUAAUCGGAAUUACUGGGCGUAAAGCGAGUGUAGGCGGCUACGUAAGUCGGUUGUGAAAGCCCCGGGCUUAACCUGGGAAUUGCGUUCGAUACUGCGUAGCUAGAGUCUGAUAGAGGGAAGUGGAAUUCCAGGUGUAGCGGUGAAAUGCGUAGAUAUCUGGAGGAACAUCAGUGGCGAAGGCGGCUUCCUGGAUCAAGACUGACGCUCAGGCUCGAAAGCGUGGGUAGCAAACAGG
rnacentral:misc_RNA from 1 species